rnacentral:hammerhead_ribozyme from 1 species
AUCCGGCUGAGGAGUCCCAAACAGGAGGAAACGCGCAUCCUGGAU